rnacentral:piRNA from 1 species
UGCUGCUAGGUGACCAGAAGUUGCCUAAAAC